rnacentral:rRNA from 1 species
AUUGAACGCUGGCGGCAUGCCUUACACAUGCAAGUCGAACGGUAACGGGCCUUCGGGCGCCGACGAGUGGCGAACGGGUGAGUAAUACAUCGGAACGUGCCCGAUCGUGGGGGAUAACGAGGCGAAAGCUUUGCUAAUACCGCAUACGAUCUACGGAUGAAAGCAGGGGACCGCAAGGCCUUGCGCGGACGGAGCGGCCGAUGGCAGAUUAGGUAGUUGGUGGGAUAAAAGCUUACCAAGCCGACGAUCUGUAGCUGGUCUGAGAGGAUGAUCAGCCACACUGGGACUGAGACACGGCCCAGACUCCUACGGGAGGCAGCAGUGGGGAAUUUUGGACAAUGGGCGCAAGCCUGAUCCAGCCAUGCCGCGUGCAGGACGAAGGCCUUCGGGUUGUAAACUGCUUUUGUACGGAACGAAAAGCCUUCUUUUAAUACAGGAGGGUCAUGACGGUACCGUAAGAAUAAGCACCGGCUAACUACGUG